UCAGGUGUGGCUGUCCAACUGCAGACUUUCGAUGAGGUUUUGGUAUAAUUCUGACCUUAGGAAUCUGGGGCUCCUCAAACUACGGCCCCAUGGACCAGAUGCGGCAGCUGAGGAGGAUUAUCCCCCUCACCCACGGCUAUGAAGUUUCUUUAUUUAAAGGCCCACAAAACAAAGAUUUAAGAAGUGAAUAAGAGGACACAUAUUUUUAUGAGAUACUAAAAGACAAAAGUCAGGACAUCCUAAGCUUACAGACAGAAAAGAUAGAGACACAGAAGAAGAAGAAGUGAAAUGACAUAGAAACAAAAGGAUGUGGAGAAGUUGACAUUUUUCCUUUGGUGACAUGGAAUGGCUUCCAUUCUCUAUGGUUCUCAGACUCUUUGAAGUGCUACAUUUUCAGCUGUACACCCAGCAGACACCCCAUCACUGUUUAUGCGUUUUUGAUUAAAGAGAAAGGGAGGAGGAAGUGAGCAAUAAAAAUAGAGUGUAAUUGA